rnacentral:rRNA from 1 species
CCAUGUGGCUAAGUCUGCAGCAACACCACCUCCAGUUCAGACUAAGUACUCCACCUGAAGCUAAACUUGUUUGGGCCUGGCCAGCACUUGGAUGAAAGACCAACUGGGAAAGCUGGGUUCCUCCUGUA